GGGGGUAUAGCUCAGUGGUAGAGCAUUUGACUACAGAUCAAAUAGUUCCUGGUUCAAAUCCAGGUACCCCCU